rnacentral:tRNA from 1 species
UCAGGGGUGGUUCAGUGGUAGAAUUCUUGCCUUCUAUGAUUUUUUUUUAUGCAGGAGACCUGGGUUCGAUUCCCACCCCACGCA